rnacentral:sRNA from 1 species
CUCGUCUUGAUUGGCAGAUGUAAAUAAACGGUGGAACGGCUGUAAAAGAGCCUUGCCGCUGGGUAAAAUCAAGAUGUGCCGCGGAACCCGCUCCUCAGCUAGUCACACUUCGGAAGCGCGGGCAACGCAGGUAUUAUCGUCUAAAGGGCCGGCUGCAACCGGCCC